rnacentral:pre_miRNA from 1 species
GAUGUACUCCCUCCGUUCGGAAUUACUUGUCGUAGAAAUGGAUGUAUCUAGACAUAUUUUAGUUCUAGAUACAUCCAUUUCCGAGACAAGUAAUUCCGAACGGAGGGAGUAACUG